rnacentral:rRNA from 1 species
CUGGGUGGAUCAGUGGCGAACGGGUGAGUAACACGUGAGCAACCUGCCCCUGACUCUGGGAUAAGCGCUGGAAACGGCGUCUAAUACUGGAUAUGUGACGUGACCGCAUGGUCUGCGUUUGGAAAGAUUUUUCGGUUGGGGAUGGGCUCGCGGCCUAUCAGCUUGUUGGUGAGGUAAUGGCUCACCAAGGCGUCGACGGGUAGCCGGCCUGAGAGGGUGACCGGCCACACUGGGACUGAGACACGGCCCAGACUCCUACGGGAGGCAGCAGUGGGGAAUAUUGCACAAUGGGCGCAAGCCUGAUGCAGCAACGCCGCGUGAGGGAUGACGGCCUUCGGGUUGUAAACCUCUUUUAGCAGGGAAGAAGCGAAAGUGACGGUACCUGCAGAAAAAGCGCCGGCUAACUACGUGCCAGCAGCCGCGGUAAUACGUAGGGCGCAAGCGUUAUCCGGAAUUAUUGGGCGUAAAGAGCUCGUAGGCGGUUUGUCGCGUCUGCUGUGAAAUCCGGAGGCUCAACCUCCGGCCUGCAGUGGGUACGGGCAGACUAGAGUGCGGUAGGGGAGAUUGGAAUUCCUGGUGUAGCGGUGGAAUGCGCAGAUAUCAGGAGGAACACCGAUGGCGAAGGCAGAUCUCUGGGCCGUAACUGACGCUGAGGAGCGAAAGGGUGGGGAGCAAACAGGCUUAGAUACCCUGGUAGUCCACCCCGUAAACGUUGGGAACUAGUUGUGGGGUCCAUUCCACGGAUUCCGUGACGCAGCUAACGCAUUAAGUUCCCCGCCUGGGGAGUACGGCCGCAAGGCUAAAACUCAAAGGAAUUGACGGGGACCCGCACAAGCGGCGGAGCAUGCGGAUUAAUUCGAUGCAACGCGAAGAACCUUACCAAGGCUUGACAUAUACGAGAACGGGCCAGAAAUGGUCAACUCUUUGGACACUCGUAAACAGGUGGUGCAUGGUUGUCGUCAGCUCGUGUCGUGAGAUGUUGGGUUAAGUCCCGCAACGAGCGCAACCCUCGUUCUAUGUUGCCAGCACGUAAUGGUGGGAACUCAUGGGAUACUGCCGGGGUCAACUCGGAGGAAGGUGGGGAUGACGUCAAAUCAUCAUGCCCCUUAUGUCUUGGGCUUCACGCAUGCUACAAUGGCCGGUACAAAGGGCUGCAAUACCGCGAGGUGGAGCGAAUCCCAAAAAGCCGGUCCCAGUUCGGAUUGAGGUCUGCAACUCGACCUCAUGAAGUCGGAGUCGCUAGUAAUCGCAGAUCAGCAACGCUGCGGUGAAUACGUUCCCGGGUCUUGUACACACCGCCCGUCAAGUCAUGAAAGUCGGUAA